rnacentral:rRNA from 1 species
UCUUGAGGCCAUACAAGCUUGUCAAAGCCUGAUCUUGUCAGAUCUCAGAGGCUAAGCAAGGCCAGGCCUGGUGAGUACUUGGAUAGGAGACCACCUGGAAUACCAGGUGCCACAGUGG